rnacentral:rRNA from 1 species
GACUCCGACUUCAUGGGGUCGAGUUGCAGACCCCAAUCCGAACUGAGACCGGCUUUUUGGGAUUCGCUCCACCUUACGGUAUCGCAGCCCUCUGUACCGGCCAUUGUAGCAUGCGUGAAGCCCAAGACAUAAGGGGCAUGAUGAUUUGACGUCAUCCCCACCUUCCUCCGAGUUGACCCCGGCAGUCUCCCAUGAGUCCCCGGCAUAACCCGCUGGCAACAUAGGACGAGGGUUGCGCUCGUUGCGGGACUUAACCCAACAUCUCACGACACGAGCUGACGACAACCAUGCACCACCUGUGUACGAGUGUCCAAAGAGAACCCCGUCUCGGGGGCUUUCUCGUACAUGUCAAGCCUUGGUAAGGUUCUUCGCGUUGCAUCGAAUUAAUCCGCAUGCUCCGCCGCUUGUGCGGGCCCCCGUCAAUUCCUUUGAGUUUUAGCCUUGCGGCCGUACUCCCCGGGCGGGGCACUUAAUGCGUUAGCUGCGGCACGGAACUCGUGGAAUGAGCCCCACACCUAGUGCCCAACGUUUACGGCAUGGACUACCAGGGUAUCUAAUCCUGUUCGCUCCCCAUGCUUUCGCUCCUCAGCGUCAGUUGCGGCCCAGAGACCUGCCUUCGCCAUCGGUGUUCCUCCUGAUAUCUGCGCAUUCCACCGCUACACCAGGAAUUCCAGUCUCCCCUACCGCACUCUAGUCUGCCCGUACCCGAUGCAAGCCCGAGGUUGAGCCUCGGGAUUUCACACCAGACGCGACAGACCGCCUACGAGCUCUUUACGCCCAAUAAUUCCGGACAACGCUUGCGCCCUACGUAUUACCGCGGCUGCUGGCACGUAGUUAGCCGGCGCUUCUUCUGCAGGUACCGUCACUUGCGCUUCUUCCCUGCUGAAAGAGGUUUACAACCCGAAGGCCGUCAUCCCUCACGCGGCGUCGCUGCAUCAGGCUUGCGCCCAUUGUGCAAUAUUCCCCACUGCUGCCUCCCGUAGGAGUCUGGGCCGUGUCUCAGUCCCAGUGUGGCCGGUCGCCCUCUCAGGCCGGCUACCCGUCGACGCCUUGGUAGGCCAUCACCCCACCAACAAGCUGAUAGGCCGCGAGCCCAUCCCCCACCGAAAAACUUUCCAACCCACACCAUGCGAUGCGAGCUCAUAUCCGGUAUUAGACCCCGUUUCCAAGGCUUAUCCCGAAGUGGAGGGCAGGUUGCUCACGUGUUACUCACCCGUUCGCCACUGAUCCACCCAGCAAGCUGGGCUUCAC